rnacentral:rRNA from 1 species
AUACGGAGGAUGCAAGCGUUAUCCGGAUUUAUUGGGUUUAAAGGGAGCGUAGGUGGGAUAUUAAGUCAGCUGUGAAAGUUUGGGGCUCAACCUUAAAAUUGCAGUUGAUACUGGUUUCCUUGAGUACGGUACAGGUGGGCGGAAUUCGUGGUGUAGCGGUGAAAUGCUUAGAUAUCACGAAGAACUCCGAUCGCGAAGGCAGCUCACCGGGCCGGAACUGACACUGAUGCUCGAAAGUGCGGGUAUCAAACAGGAUUAGAUACCCUGGUAGUCCGCACAGUAAACGAUGAAUACUCGCUGUUUGCGAUACACUGUAAGCGGCCAAGCGAAAGCGUUAAGUAUUCCACCUGGGGAGUACGCCGGCAACGGCGAAACUCAAAGGAAUUGACGGGG